AAGCACUUGAUACUAACCAAGCUAUCUGUAUCUCAGAUUUCAUAGAGCUCUGAGAUGCACUUCGUGAUAGCUGGGUCUGAGAAGUGCAACAUCAAAACAAACAGCCAUGCAGUAUUUAAGCUCACUGUGUGGAGGAUCACACUGGGUUAUAACUCAGAGGCACAGAU
rfam:Alligator sinensis unplaced genomic scaffold scaffold264_1, whole genome shotgun sequence